AACGAACGCUGGCGGCGUGCCUAACACAUGCAAGUCGAACGAGAAAGGGGCUUCGGCCCUGAGUAAAGUGGCGCACGGGUGAGUAACACGUAGGUAACCUGCCUCUAAGAUCGGGAUAACCCGUCGAAAGACGAGCUAAUACCGGAUAAGACCACAGCUUCCUCGGAAGCAGGGGUCAAAGAUAGCCUCUACUUGUAAGCUAUCACUUAGAGAUGGGCCUGCGCACCAUUAGCUAGUUGGUAGGGUAACGGCCUACCAAGGCAAAGAUGGUUAGCUGGUCUGAGAGGAUGAUCAGCCACACUGGAACUGAGACACGGUCCAGACUCCUACGGGAGGCAG
rnacentral:rRNA from 1 species